AUCAAGAUAUAAGAGAGAGAGAUCUAGCCUACCUCUGUGUGCCCCCACCUCUGGCUCUGCCACCGUGUCCUGCGUGUUGGUGGGGAGUUAAAAGUCAGCACCAUGAAGAUCCUGGUCUCGGUCUUGCUUGCCUACAUCUCUCAGGAGGUGUGGAAAAUUAUGAUCAUUCUGAGGAAAGGCAAGUCUAUCCGCCAGAGAAUGGAGGAGCAGGGUGUACUGGAGACAUUUCUGAGAGACCACCCAAAGGCUGAUCCAAUUGCCAAGUAUUAUUUCAAUAAUGAUGCUGUUGCUUACGAGCCCAUCACCAACUACCUGGAUUCUUUCUACUUUGGGGAGAUCAGCACUGGGACACCACCCCAAAAUUUCCUAGUCCUCUUUGAUACGGGUUCCUCCAAUCUGUAGCUGCCCUCCAUCUACUGCCAGAGCCGAGCCUGCUCCAAUCACAACAGGUUCAAUCCCAGCCUGUCCUCCACCUUCAGAAACAAUGGACAAACCUAUGGACUAUCCUAUGGGAGUGGCAGCCUGAGUGUGUUCCUGGGCUAUGACACUGUGACUGUUCAUAACAUCGUUGUCAAUAACCAGGAGUUUGGCCUGAGUGAGAAUGAGCCCAGCGACCCCUUCUACUAUUCAGACUUUGACGGGAUCCUGGGAAUGGCCUACCCAAACAUGGCAGUGGGGAAUUCCCCUACAGUAAUGCAGGGGAUGCUGCAGCAGGGCCAGCUUACUCAGCUCGUCUUCAGCUUCUACUUCACCUGCCAGCCAACCCGCCAGUAUGGUGGAGAGCUCAUCCUUGGAGGUGUGGACCCCCAACUUUAUUCUGGUCAGAUCAUCUGGACCCCUGUCAGCCCGGAACUGUACUGGCAGAUUGCCAUCGAGGAAUUUGCCAUCGGUAACCACUGGCUUGUGCUCUGAGGGUUGCCAGGCCAUUGUGGAUACCAGGACCUUCCUGCUGGCCAUUCCCCAGCAGUACAUGGGCUCCUUCCUGCAGGCAACAGGAGUCCAGCAGGCUCAGAAUGGUGAUUUUGUGGUCGACUGCAGCUACAUACAGAGCAUGCCCACCAUCACCUUCAUCAUCGGCGGGGCCCAGUUUCCUCUGCCUCCCUCUGCCUAUGUCUUCAAUAACAAUGGCUACUGCAGGCUUGGAACUGAGGCCACCUGCCUGCCCUCCUGCAGCCCCUCUGGAUUCUGGGUGAUGUCUUCCUCAAGGAAUAUUGCUCUGUCUAUGACAUGGCCAACAACAGGGUGGGCUUUGCCUUCUCUGCCUAGACUAGCCAGCGACUGCUGUCUCCACCCCUCUCUGCAGGACUCUGGGAUUGUUCUGAUGUUUCUGUGGGUCCAUGGCAGCAUUUUUAAUGAUCCUGACUCCCUCUGCUCACUACAGUCUUACUUUCUGCAACUAAUAAAUUAGAAAACUCCAAACA